AGAUUGAACGCUGGCGGCAUGCCUUACACAUGCAAGUCGAACGGUAGAGUAGCAAUACUUGAGAGUGGCGAACGGGUGAGUAAUAUAUCGGAACGUGCCCAGUCGUGGGGGAUAACGUAGAGAAAUUUACGCUAAUACCGCAUACGAUCUAAGGAUGAAAGCGGGGACCGUAAGGCUCGCGCGAUUGGAGCGGCUGAUAUCAGAUUAGGUUGUUGGUGAGGUAAAAGCUCACCAAGCCGACGAUCUGUAGCUGGUUUGAGAGAACGACCAGCCACACUGGGACUGAGACACGGCCCAGACUCCUACGGGAGGCAGCAGUGGGGAAUUUUGGACAAUGGGCGAAAGCCUGAUCCAGCAAUGCCGCGUGCAGGAAGAAGGCCUUCGGUUGUAAACUGCUUUUGUACGGAACGAAACGUCUGCUUUAAUACAGUGGCUAAUAGACGUACCGUAAGAAUAAGACACGGCUAAUACGUGCCAGCAGCCG
rnacentral:rRNA from 1 species